UACGUAGGGAGCAAGCGUUGUCCGGAAUCAUUGGGCGUAAAGCGCGCGUAGGCGGCCUCGUAAGUCCGUUGUGAAAGUCAAAGGCUCAACCUUUGAAAGCCGAUGGAUACUGUGAGGCUAGAGUCCCGGAAGAGGCGAGUGGAAUUCCUGGUGUAGCGGUGGAAUGCGCCAGAUAUCAGGAGGAACACCAAUAGGCGAAAGGCAGCUCGCUGGGACGGUA
rnacentral:rRNA from 1 species